UGCAGUGACGGUGGGGCCUGUGAUAUUGUCAACGGUAAAUGUCCGAAUGGUUGCUCUGUCGGAUGGACGGGUGUUUUCUGCAAACAAGAAUGUGCUUCCGGUAAAUUUGGAAUGAGAUGUGGGAGUGACUGUGGACAUUGUAAAGACGGAAUGACGUGUGAUUCUAUAAACGGGACUUGUCCUCAUGGAUGUGCACCUGGAUGGUCUGGGGCUACAUGCAGUUCACCAUGUCCUCAGGGAACUUUCGGAGAUUCCUGCAGUCAAACCUGUAGACAAUGCAAAAUUGGGUCAACCUGUGACACAGUUACUGGAUUAUGUUCUAGUGGCUGUUCUGAGAACUGGACUGGGAAGUUCUGUAAUGA